GGACCCGCACAAGUAGUGGAGCAUGUGGUUUAAUUCGAAGAUACGCGCAGAACCUUACCAACACUUGACAUGUUCGUCGCGACUUUAAGAGAUUAAAGUUUUCGGUUCGGCCGGACGAAACACAGGUGCUGCAUGGCUGUCGUCAGCUCGUGUCGUGAGAUGUUGGUUAAGUCCCGCAACGAGCGCAACCCUCACUUUUAGUUGCCAUCAUUAAGUUGGGCACUCUGAAAGAACUGCCAGUGAUAAGCUGGAGGAAGGUGGGGAUGACGUCAAGUCCUCAUGGCCCUUACGUGUUGGGCUACACACGUGCUACAAUGGUAGUGACAAUGGGUUAAUCCCAAAAAGCUAUCUCAGUU
rnacentral:rRNA from 1 species